UACGAAGGGGGCUAGCGUUUUUCGGAAUCACUGGGCGUAAAGCGCACGUAGGCGGAUCUUUAAGUCAGGGGUGAAAUCCCGGAGCUCAACUCCGGAACUGCCUUUGAUACUGGGGAUCUCGAGUCCGGGAGAGGUGAGUGGAACUGCGAGUGUAGAGGUGAAAUUCGUAGAUAUUCGCAAGAACACCAGUGGCGAAGGCGGCUCACUGGCCCGGAACUGACGCUGAGGUGCGAAAGCGUGGGGAGCAAACAGG
rnacentral:rRNA from 1 species